rnacentral:misc_RNA from 1 species
GUGAGUCAUCGAAUCUUUGAACGCACAUUGCGCCCGCCAGCAUUCUGGCGGGCAUGCCUGUUCGAGCGUCAUUUCAACCCUCGAGCCCGACUUCCUUGCGGAGGACGGCUCGGCGUUGGGGGACGGCACACUCCCCCCGGCUCGCCGGGGACGCCGCCCCCGAAAUUCAGUGGCGGCCCUCGGAGGCGACCUCUGCGUAGUAACUCAACCUCGCAAAGGGAAGCUCCGAGCGGCCACGCCGUGAAACCCCAACUCUUCAAGGUUGACCUCGAAUCAGGUAGGACUACCCGCUGAACUUAAGCAUAUCAAUAAGCGGAGGA